GACGAACGCUGGCGGCGUGCUUAACACAUGCAAGUCGAGCGGUAAGGCCUUUCGGGGUACACGAGCGGCGAACGGGUGAGUGACACGGGGGUGAUCUGCCCUGCACUUUGUGAUAAGCCGGGGAAACUGGGUCUAAUACCGUAUAUGAGCUCCUAUCGCAUGGUGGGUGGGGGCAAGAUUUAUCGGUGCAGGAUGGGCCCGAGGCCUAUCAGCUAGUUGUUGAGUUAAUGGCCUGCCAAGGCAACGACGGGUAGCCGACCUGAGAGGGUGACCGGGCACACUGGGACUGCGACACGGCCCAGUAGCGUACGGGAGGCAGCAGUGGGGAAUAUUGCGGAAUGGGCGCAAGCCUGAUGCAGAGGCGCCGCGUGCGGGAUGACGGCCUUCGGGGUGUAAACCUCUUUCAGCAGAGACGAAGAGAAAGUGACGGUACCUGCAGAAGAAGCCCCGGCUAACUACGUG
rnacentral:rRNA from 1 species